rnacentral:misc_RNA from 1 species
AAACAGGAAUCUCCACCAUAGAGCUUGACGGGUAAUUAAGCAUACAUCAGUAAGAAUGAAAUCAAUAAAAUUACCAGGAACAUGCUCUUAUUAGUACUGUGUUUGUAAGAUUGCAAGUUAAGAGACAAUUUCCUUCCGUUUUCCUGCCUCUAUAAAAGGUAAGAUACAUGCAAGACACUAAAAGGACUACCACAAGAACUGCUACAACCCGUAUGCCAGCUAUUGCCCCACCUGGGAUUCCAGUCAAUAACACAAUGUGUUUAGUAGAUUACAAUCACAUUCAGAGCUAUUUUGAUACCUCAGACUUGAUAAGUUGAAAACAGUGCCAUUGUAGUAGUAAAGACCAACCUUUUGAGCUGUGAAAAGCAAGAAACAACAAUUAGCUACCAAUAUACGCAUGAUUAGGAGCUCACUGGGGUUGGGGAAUACCUUAUAGAAGUUUUUAAUAGUGGAUAAGUUCCAUUUUGAUCUGCAAUAAAUUUCAGAAAUAGAGAUCUAAAAGAAAACUAUAUCAGCUAACACUUGGCAUAUAUAGUACCGGAUAUCCAAGUGACAAUUCUCAGAUUUGACAUAAUGUCAAAUCAUCCGAAAAUUAACUAUGAUUGUAGUAUGCAAAGUUAUUCCUUCCCGAUAAUAUACAACGAGCAGGUUUCCUUUUAAUGGUUCUGCAUACCAUUCUGUAAAUCCUAAUCCGAACUUGACUAAUUGUACUUAAAAUAUGCAAAGAAUAUGAGUAUAGAAGCCAGACCACUUCCCCUGCUGAAUUUGCUUCAGGAUAGUCUUCCGACAACUUCUGUGGUAGAUUAAGUUCAUUGGCUAUGUAACCAAAUUCUGGUCAGUGCAAAGAGGAAAAGUUAUAAAUUGUCCAUAAUCUUUAGAAACAUGACUAUCCCCACAAGAGCACUUCAUGAUAAUAUUUACUAUAGCAUUUGCAGGAACAUUGUUAGGAUCAUAACAGUUUGACUCCUGCAACUUUUCAACUGUUGUAAGGUUUGAACAAUAAAGAU